rnacentral:rRNA from 1 species
AUUGAACGCUGGCGGCAGGCCUAACACAUGCAAGUCGAACGGUAACAGGAAGAAGCUUGCUUCUUUGCUGACGAGUGGCGGACGGGUGAGUAAUGUCUGGGAAACUGCCUGAUGGAGGGGGAUAACUACUGGAAACGGUAGCUAAUACCGCAUAACGUCGCAAGACCAAAAAGGGGGACCUUCGGGCCUCUUGCCAUCGGAUGUGCCCAGAUGGGAUUAGCUAGUAGGUGGGGUAACGGCUCACCUAGGCGACGAUCCCUAGCUGGUCUGAGAGGAUGACCAGCCACACGGGAACUGAGACACGGUCCAGACUCCUACGGGAGGCAGCAGUGGGGAAUAUUGCACAAUGGGCGCAAGCCUGAUGCAGCCAUGCCGCGUGUAUGAAGAAGGCCUUCGGGUUGUAAAGUACUUUCAGCGGGGAGGAAGGGAGUAAAGUUAAUACCUUUGCUCAUUGACGUUACCCGCAGAAGAAGCACCGGCUAACUCCGUG